GGGGGUGUAGCUCAGUGGCAGAGCAUUUGACUGCAGAUCGACAGGUCCCCGGUUCAAAUCCGGGUGCCCCCU